UACGAAGGGGGCUAGCGUUGUUCGGAAUCACUGGGCGUAAAGCGCACGUAGGCGGAUUGCUAAGUCAGGGGGUGAAAUCCUGGAGCUCAACUCCAGAACUGCCUUUGAUACUGGUGAUCUUGAGUCCGGGAGAGGUGAGUGGAACUGCGAGUGUAGAGGUGAAAUUUCGUAGAUAUUCGCGAAGAACACCAGUGGCGAAGGCGGCUCGACUGGCCCGGUACUGACGCUGAGGUGGCGAAAGCGUGGGGAGCAAACAGG
rnacentral:rRNA from 1 species